rnacentral:rRNA from 1 species
UACAGAGGCCUCGAGCGUUAGGCGGAAUCACUGGGCUUAAAGCGCGUGUAGGCGGAUCGUUAAGUGUCUUGUGAAAUCCCACGGCUCAACCGUGGAACUGCUGGGCAUACUGGCGAUCUUGGGCCACUCAGGGGCGACCGGAACAAGCGGUGGAGCGGUGAGAUGCGUAGAUAUCGCUUGGAACGCCAAAGGUGAAGACAGGUCGCUGGGGGUGUGCCGACGCUGAGACGCGAAAGCCAGGGGAGCAAACGGG